rnacentral:rRNA from 1 species
AGGGGAGCGUUCUGUAAGCCUGUGAAGGUGGCCUGUGAGGGUUGCUGGAGGUAUCAGAAGUGCGAAUGCUGACAUAAGUAACGAUAAAGCGGGUGAAAAGCCCGCUCGCCGGAAGACCAAGGGUUCCUGUCCAACGUUAAUCGGGGCAGGGUGAGUCGACCCCUAAGGCGAGGCCGAAAGGCGUAGUCGAUGGGAAACGGGUUAAUAUUCCCGUACUUGGUGUUACUGCGAAGGGGGGACGGAGAAGGCUAUGUUGGCCGGGCGACGGUUGUCCCGGUUUAAGCGUGUAGGUGUGUGUUCCAGGUAAAUCCGGUUCACUUUAACACUGAGGCGUGACGACGAGGCACUACGGUGCUGAAGCAACAAAUGCCCUGCUUCCAGGAAAAGCCUCUAAGCAUCAGGUAACAUCAAAUCGUACCCCAAACCGACACAGGUGGUCAGGUAGAGAAUACCAAGGCGCUUGAGAGAACUCGGGUGAAGGAACUAGGCAAAAUGGUGCCGUAACUUCGGGAGAAGGCACGCUGACACGUAGGUGAAGUGAUUUACUCACGGAGCUGAAGUCAGUCGAAGAUACCAGCUGGCUGCAACUGUUUAUUAAAAACACAGCACUGUGCAAACACGAAAGUGGACGUAUACGGUGUGACGCCUGCCCGGUGCCGGAAGGUUAAUUGAUGGGGUCAGCGCAAGCGAAGCUCCUGAUCGAAGCCCCGGUAAACGGCGGCCGUAACUAUAACGGUCCUAAGGUAGCGAAAUUCCUUGUCGGGUAAGUUCCGACCUGCACGAAUGGCGUAAUGAUGGCCAGGCUGUCUCCACCCGAGACUCAGUGAAAUUGAACUCGCUGUGAAGAUGCAGUGUACCCGCGGCAAGACGGAAAGACCCCGUGAACCUUUACUAUAGCUUGACACUGAACAUUGAGCCUUGAUGUGUAGGAUAGGUGGGAGGCUUUGAAGUGUGGACGCCAGUCUGCAUGGAGCCGACCUUGAAAUACCACCCUUUAAUGUUUGAUGUUCUAACGUGGACCCGUUACCCGGGUUGCGGACAGUGUCUGGUGGGUAGUUUGACUGGGGCGGUCUCCUCCUAAAGAGUAACGGAGGAGCACGAAGGUUGGCUAAUCCUGGUCGGACAUCAGGAGGUUAGUGCAAUGGCAUAAGCCAGCUUGACUGCGAGCGUGACGGCGCGAGCAGGUGCGAAAGCAGGUCAUAGUGAUCCGGUGGUUCUGAAUGGAAGGGCCAUCGCUCAACGGAUAAAAGGUACUCCGGGGAUAACAGGCUGAUACCGCCCAAGAGUUCAUAUCGACGGCGGUGUUUGGCACCUCGAUGUCGGCUCAUCACAUCCUGGGGCUGAAGUAGGUCCCAAGGGUAUGGCUGUUCGCCAUUUAAAGUGGUACGCGAGCUGGGUUUAGAACGUCGUGAGACAGUUCGGUCCCUAUCUGCCGUGGGCGCUGGAGAACUGAGGGGGGCUGCUCCUAGUACGAGAGGACCGGAGUGGACGCAUCACUGGUGUUCGGGUUGUCAUGCCAAUGGCACUGCCCGGUAGCUAAAUGCGGAAGAGAUAAGUGCUGAAAGCAUCUAAGCACGAAACUUGCCCCGA